UGCCUGCUCCAGGAGCUCAUGGGAUAUCAAGAUACCAUAUGUUAUACAUGCUGUGAAGCCGAUCCAAUGGCCACCUGUCACAGCUUCUUCUGACUACUACAAAUGGCCGGUACCUUCUCUGUUCCUAUAGCACAUGGUUCACCCUACAGCUAUUGCCCUCUCCCUACAGACUCCGGGCUGCUUGGGGCUGAUGUUAAGACAGUUUGCCUUGGGACCCUCAGAACCAGGGCAUCUGCUCCAACACACAUUCUGGGCGAGCCCAAGGCACAGAGAAGUGAAGCAGAGAGUGUCCGCAUGGCUUCCCCACCAGCCACCGUUCCAGAGGAGGCAAGGCUCAGGCAU